CCCGGACGACAUCUUUACCUGACAGUAUUAGAGAAAUUUUAAUAUAAUCUAAUGCUGCCCGGUAAGAUGUGAACAGA
rnacentral:pre_miRNA from 1 species